AGACUUUAUAUUUUCUGUUUUUUUUACUCUGCAGUAGAAACGUUUUGACCUGUAUAAUGUAUAUUCCAAUUGUAUAUCAGUGUAUACAUCCAGUAUAUCGACCUGUUCUUCAACUUUUUGGGGCCUUAAAAAUUGACUUUCAAUGAGCAAAUGCUGCUUUUCGACCUGUUUGUCAGUUUUCCAGGGGAUGGGUGACUCGAUAAUAAAGGAUUGAGCCUUCGUGGCUCAAUCAAGAGGUCACAAGAAAAGAAAAUAGUGUCCAAAUGGAGUCGAGUGGAG
rnacentral:misc_RNA from 1 species